rnacentral:rRNA from 1 species
CAUAGAAAGGCUAUCGCCUCCUCGUUCAUGCUUAUGUCUUAGGAGAUUUGGAAAGAGCAUAAUAUAAGGGUUUUUCGUAACAGCACCGCUACGACGAUGAUGCUCGUCUCGAAUAUAAAAAAGAAGGCCCAUCUUUGGGCUAUUGCUGGUGCCACCCACUUGAGUAUUGUCAUGCCGCGAGAGUAUAUAUUUGUCUCCUGCUUUGCGCUCAUUUGUCUUGAAUCUUCUCCCUCAAUCAAUGAAAAUGGCAAAUCUUUUGCCUUGCUUAAAAAAAAUGGUGAGGGGCACAUUCACUACAAACUGACCCACACAUUUUCCAGCUGA